rnacentral:rRNA from 1 species
AUUGAACGCUGGCGGCAUGCUUUACACAUGCAAGUCGAACGGUAACAGGCCUUCGGGUGCUGACGAGUGGCGAACGGGUGAGUAAUGCAUCGGAACGUACCCAGAGGUGGGGGAUAACGCAGCGAAAGCUGUGCUAAUACCGCAUGUGAUCUGAGGAUGAAAGCGGGGGACCGAGCAGCAAUGUUUGGCCUCGCGCCUUUGGAGCGGCCGAUGUCGGAUUAGCUAGUUGGUGGGGUAAAGGCCUACCAAGGCGACGAUCCGUAGCUGGUCUGAGAGGACGACCAGCCACACUGGGACGGGGACACGGCCCAGGCUCCUACGGGAGGCAGCAGUGGGGAAUUUUGGACAAUGGGCGCAAGCCUGAUCCAGCAAUGCCGCGUGCGGGAAGAAGGCCUUCGGGUUGUAAACCGCUUUUGGCAGGAACGAAACGGUGUCCGCUAAUACCGGGCGCUAAUGACGGUACCUGCAGAAUAAGCACCGACUAACUACGUG